CUCCCUUCUCCCAUUAUCCUAAAAGCACCGAGAGCCCAGAAGAGCACCUGGCACGUGGGAGAGCUGCCUCACGGUCAAGCUGACGUGUAGACUACGAGCCUCACGUCUGUCCUCUCCCACCCGUAAGCAUGCACACAAAGUCACGUGUUCAACAGAAACUGGGAGGAGCAAAGCAGGCAAUGUUUGUUCGUUGCAUCUUUUUACUUCAGUCCUAAACCAAUGCAGGUAGAAAAAUAUCAUGUGACUUACUUAAGAGGCCCUUGGAGAGAGUGUCUAACAAAACUGUUGGUGGCUUCUACGUGUUUGAUUACCCUAACAGAGUUGGUUCUCUCGUCUCUGCGACUGGUCUAACGCGAUGCCACGGGCACCCUGUUUUCUAGGCUCCACGCUCCACCAUCAGAGCUGUCUUGAUGCUGUUCUCUUGUCUUCUUCAUGUUCCUUCUGUGGGGGCCCAGAGCUGCUUCUGGCGGUUUGUGGUUUAACCUGGCCUGAUGCUGUACUUGUCGCUUUUCCUGUCCCCAUUCCACAGUCACGGUGACUUGAGUGCGAGAGGAAACUGACGCCUAGAGAGGCUGGUUCAAGGUCAAAACCGUGGCUCGUUCAAGGUCAAAAUCGGGACGCAGUCUGGUUUCGUGACUCGCUAGCAAGUUUAGCUGCUUUCCCAUUCUGGUGCUCACCUCUCUGAACCCCCAGCUGAAAACCCUGGGGUCUCCCAGUCGAGCAUGCAGUUGGCGCUUUCUCCUAAUUCACUGUGUGUAUGUCAUGGCCAGUCUGCCGGGCCUGUCCAUCCAGGCUUCUGUGCCAGCCAGUCACGUCGCCUCAGAUGGGCAGCACCUUCCAGGACUUCAACCCUCAAAGCUGUGCCAAGAGUUCUCUGCCUCAGCGAGAUGCCUGCAGCCAUCCCUGGCUCAUACUGCGUGCGUGCUGCACUUCUGCCUCUGGGUGGCAGAUUUGUCCUACCGUCUUUAUACCCCGAGGCCCAGCCCCAGGGAAGAAAUCACUCUGGGCUGUCAGCAGGUAACUCAGAGGCUGAACAGGCCCACGCCUUGCUGUCUUGUUUUGUGAGUUCGUUUUCUGCACGAAUAACCUUGUCCACACUGCCUAAUCUCCCAAAUCUUAAUUUCCUCUUUGGUGAAGGAGGGGAAGAUUAUUCUCUGGAGACUGAAGUAAAAGGGGCCAAACAGCUACAACAGGGGCCUGACCACUUGGGUGGUUACCAGAAUCCUGCCUCCAUGUCUUCCGUGUGGGCCUCACUGGCACCCAGCCAGUAACUCUUCAUGAGGUGCUUGGUAAAAGUGGAACCAACAGAAACUCUCUACAAGCUGCCUGCCUCUCUGUGUGCUGUAGGCUUUCUGGGCACCUAGAGUCACCCUGUCUACAUUUGACUUUCCUUAGCCCCCAUCUCUUGGCUUUUGCGGGAGAAGCUCUUUGCUCCAAAUCCUCCGUUGCUUCUCCUGGUUUCAGAAACUGGACUCACCCAAAGGCGAUGACAGGAAGGCAGUGACGUCUUCUCCUAUCUUUUCCACUUGCCAGGAAGUGAGUAGCUUGUCAGCAUGAAGAAGCUUACUCCAGAGUUCAACCAUAGCCCCACCCUCCUUUGUGAGCCUAGGAGGACAGCCUUGGGGUCUGGCUGCCGGCAAUUUCGAGACAGGCAGGAUGAAGCUCCUUGCAGCUGCAGGGGCCCCUCAGUUGCUGCAGGUGAAGCCUUCCCAGGGCUAUCUCAAGAGCCAGCCCUAUUCAGAACCAUAAUCACAGUCUCUGUGUCUCACUCGUCACUCAUUCUGGAGGGCCUGGCAGAGUGCUUGGCGCUCUUCGCCGCUAUAAAAAGGCCACCUCCAGGGUAGGGUGUGAAGGUUGCCGAAUAUUAUGGUCACCUCCUGCCAAAAUAGCCACUUGACAAACACGAAGCACCCGCAGCUCAUGAUUUGGUGUGCAGUACAUUUGUUUGUGUUUACACUUGAUCCUGAAUACCAAACACCCUCUAAUCUUCCAUUAACCCUGGGAUAGUUCCUGGUUGUUCAGGGGAAAGGAAACAGAAUGCUUUCUCUUCAGAGCCAGACUCUCCAGUCACUCCCAGGCCUCCAGGAGAAUGACUCCUUCUGACCUGGUCCCUCCAAGAUUGACUCAACCCACCCACCCGGGCCCUCCCAGAUGGAAGCUGGAUAGAUGCUGUUUCAGUGGCCCUGACUUCCCCCAGGGGCAGUAGAAGUCUAGGUCACUGCAGAUGGUCCAGUCUCUGGUCUUUGCCAACCCUCCCCCCCUACCCCUAUCUAGUGCCCAUGACUGGGGCUUUUUGUGUCAUCCUGAAGUUGGCACUCUCUCAUUUCCUGACAAUAAUGCUGGCUGUUGUUUCUGGGCAAAUGGAACAAAUGACCGAUGUGAACCUAAUGCAAUCUGCAAACUGGAAACAUCUGCAGCCAGGCAGGGAGCCCUGCAGGGAGGCAAGCAGAGGACCUCCUUGCCGUGUCCUGACCAGAUCAAGGGAGCUGUGCAGCCCCUCUCCUAAGUGCCAUUUCGGUGUGAGAGGCAGCAAACCUGAAACAGCUCUCAUUUUACAGAGGAGCCAGAGGGCGCAGGUGCAAGGAGAGACAAGCAGUCUGCACUGUGCGAGUCUGCGAGGGCACAGCUUUUUCCUGAUGCUGGGUCCACGGAGCCUAUCGUUCCCUUCAUGACAUCGGUUUUCACAGUUGAGCAAACUGACAUCGCACCAAGUUAAGGAGCUUGCCCAUGGUGGCUUGGCUAGCAGCUGCUAGAGGCAGCGAAGCUGAGGCUCUCACAUCUCUGACCACUGGGCCUGUCUACCCACAGCAGAUCGUUUGCUCCAACAACAGCUUUGAGAGCUGGAGUUUCUUCAGUUCUACAGUACCUGAGGUUGAGCGUCAGAAGCCUGGACUCAACAGAAAGACAACACAGAGCCAGUUCUGCGGCUACAGGGGGCAAACUAUUUCUCAAUACAGACUCUCUCCUGGAAGGAGUUUUCCAAGUAUCACCCAGAGGGUUGCUCUGGAGGGACACAGAUCAUCUUGCUCUGCCUUAGUUCACAGGGGCUACUCAAACCGGGACUGCCACCUGCUGGAACUGAGCUGCGUUCCCUUGGGCCUUGGCAAGAAAGUACUAAUUUCUAAACUAUUCCCUGCCAGGUCACAGCUUGCAUGUAUAAUGAGCCAGAGAGAGAUCUUUGAAAUCAGAAGAGGGCGGGGCUCCAUGAUCUCUAGUAGGAGCUGGGGACCAUAUUGGUCCCAAGAGAACGCUAAGGAGAAGGGCCCUGCCGGGAGGUAGCCAUUCCUUGUACCAGAGGCCACGGAGAGGCAGAAUUGCUGGCAGCCGUUGGGUGCCUACCACACUUCAGGGUCUCCACUAUGCCCUGAGGACUUGAGCAAGCUGUCAACAACUCUGAGGUCUCCUGGGUAGUGGUUGACCCUGGGGCAGCCCCGCAGGAGCCAAGGUGAUCUCAGCUCCUCGCCUUUGCGCUUCGUGAAUGGCGGUGGGAGUCACGGGACCAUUGCUCUGAUUCAACCACACAGUUUGAGGGUGCUGGUGGUGCACCUGACCAGACACACUCCCCUGGAACUCAGUGGCACUAGAGGGACAGGUGCCCUCACAGCCCACAGAGGGUAGCCCAGCCUGGCCCCAGAAAGGAGAGCUCAGUUAAUACUGAGGCGUUCUUCUAUUUAUCUGGGCACUGCAAACUGUGUCUCAGGAUUCCUCAGUGAGUGCUCUGACUACCUCUCCACUCUGGGACUAAAGAUCUAGGCCUGAAAAGCUGGGACUCUUCCACACUGGCCUGUCGCGAGCCCAGUGGAUUUGUAUUCAGCCUGCCAGGGUCGGCACCCUCCUCAGCCUUUGCCGUUGCCCAUACAGAGACAGUCCUCACCUCCUACAGACUGGCAGGCUGGGCCAGAAUUGGUCGACCAAGGAAGCAGAGGACACACGCCAAAAGGAAGUCACAAAGAUCAGUUUAAAAAUAACCCUCUCGUGUCGAUCAUAAGGAGGAGUUUGCAGAGAAGCCAAGUUCUGAGGGCGAUAUGGCCCACGGUAAUGUCGGAAAGGCUCCCACAGCCAAUCAGAAGGGUUGGACUUCCAGCCCCCACCUCCUUAUCAGCCUGGGCAAGCCACUGCCUGAGCCUCUGCUCUCCUCAGAUACUUCCGCCCGGCCAGCAUCUGUUUCCUCUCCUAUAUUUAACACCAGGUUAGUGAACUUUCAAUGCAUUUUUUUCCACCAGGGUAGAGCAGAGCCUUUCAGAGAGCGUAUGGGUCACAUUGACACAGAGGCCCCGUAGCCCGUUCUGCUGCUCCCCGGCUUCUCUGCUGGAUGUGUGGGGCCCAUGCAUCCAGAGACGAUUGGUUUCCAGCUCUGUUACUUUGUGACCCAUCCGGUGGGAGGAUGAGCAAGCAGCUGGGAGAUGGACCCAGACGCUGUCCUAAUGUGGACAGUGUGUGACUCCUCCGGCUAUGGUUUGAAUGUGAACUACCCACCACGAGCUCACAUUUUAAUCUCCGUUUUCCCAGCUAUGUUCAUUUCAAGGCUUGGGGAACGGGGGAAGACUGUUCAACUUCAGUAGAUGUAUCAGUGUGUCUGGACUUUUGAAGGUCAUACCUGUCCCAGGUUCUACACCGCCUCUGCGUCUGGAGAAAGAGCAUCACUGCUGCCUCAGCCUCCCUGCCACAGUGGCCCGAAACCCUUCUGAGGCCACGAGCCAGAACUGUUAUUUCCUCUAAGUUCUUCUGUCUGGGAUCUCAUUGAAACAGGGAAAAAGGUAACUCAAGCAUUUGUCCGACACCAGGAGAGGCAAAGGGGGCCUGCAGUACACCAGAGACGCAGAUAUCAUCACCUACUGCACAAUUCCAAGGGCUCCCAGCGCAGCCUCUUCACGGCUGGACCCUCGGGACUCCAGGCUAUUCCUGGCUCCAUUUCCCACUCCACUAAAGAGAGCUGUUUGGAGGAAGGCCACCGUAGCUCUCUAGUUCUCCAGUCUAGGUCAUCCAGGUGUUUGUGGCCCUGUCUCAGCACACAAAACACUCGCUAGGAAGUGUCACCAGAACCUUCGAGAAGAUCUUUCCUUGAGGUUGGAAAUAACCCCGAGAAACUUAGGAACCAAUAUUCUUGUCUCCAGCCAGCAGGCCUGCCACCACUAAGACCGUGCUCCAUGUGUGCUGCCUGGCACUGCAGGGUGGUUUGCCCUGAACCAGCAGCUGCCACUGGAGUAAAGCAGAGAGGACUCCUGCCAGCAGCCUCCUGCUCUCAGCACCGCAUACCCAGGCUGCCUGCCCCAGCAAAGACGCAGACGCUGGACUUUUCACAGUCUUCUUUUCCCUCAACGUAGACACCUCCUAACUUGUUCAUGUUUUAUGUUCUGGGAAUUUGCCCUGCAUUGAGCACUGCUGCCCGUCAGCCCACGACAACCUGGAGUCACACUGGGGAUCCAGAAGCCCAGCUCUGCCCUGCUGCAGCUGUGUGAUCUUAAGGGAGUGACUGACUGUUGUGAGCCCAUUUCCAUAACUGCCAAACGAGACCCAAAAAGUGGCUCAUAAAGAGCCACUUUCAAAGAGGUGUGAGGAAAGUCAUGGAGGUGACGUUUAUGAUCCCCCAGCUCCUGGCCACCAGGUCCUCUGAUGCUUUCUACGGCUCUGUGGGUUCCCUGUUUGCUUGGAUUGUGUACCCUUCAUACGCGGCAUUAAAUACAAACGAGUUCCUUAUUAAAAUAACUGCUCUUCUGUGCUGACAAGUGGGCUCAGCAGGCAACUGCACUCAUAGUUAAACCUGACAACUGGAGUUUUGUCCCCAGAAUCCACAUGGUGGAAGGAGAGAACGGACUCCUGACUCCUGCAGACUGACCUCUGACCUCCACACAGGUGUGCUGCACACGCAGGCCCACACACGCUCCACUGCAAAUAAAGGUUAAAGAAAAUCCCUCAGAACAUUCUCCCUAACAACUUCCCUGCAAGAAGAGCAAGCAUCAGUUGAACGCUUGCGAUGCUGUGAAGACUGGUCCUGUGCAAGCCUUAAUGUACGCCCGAUGUGGUGGGUUAUCAUGAUUGCUAUUUUAUAGACAAGUGGGCUGAGCCGAAUGGUUUUCCCACGACAUGUGUACUCAACGGUAGAGUCAGGCCUCAGAGCCCCCACUUUAAACCUCUUGGCUGGGACUGUGCUAUAGUGGAAUGAAAUGGGCUGGGUACCCCCGAGAAGAGAAUUUUUUGAACGCUAUCCAGAAGUGGAGGCAGCCCUGACUUUUUCAGAAGUUGUUUGUUUCAUCAAACCGCACUAAACUGAUCAUUUGCUGCUGACAGUUACAGUUGGUUUGGCACCAACCCAUCUUGUGUCAGACUCUUAAAGCACCUAAGUCUUUUAAGAUUAUUUGGUUUCCACUCCACUGCCAGUUUGGACUAAGUAAUUCUUGUUUUGUGAGGGUAAGAUGUCUACGGUGCAUUACUGGGUUGCUGGAUGUUACCAUGGCCUGUGGCUUCUACCCAAAAAUACCAACAGCAGUCCCUGUUCCCCAUCAGAAUGUCCUCAGAUAUUGCCAAAUGUUUCAGGGUGGGGUGCAGAAUCACUACUGUUUGGGAAGUGCUGUUCUGAACACAAAGUCUGAACUUUACAGAGGUUAGACUGCUUCCCAAGAUCACAAAGGCUGCCCUAAGCUGAGUCUGAGCCAAGGUCUAAAUGUUUACUCUGGAACCACCCUUUCGGUUCCUAAAUAAAGAAAACUCAAACAUGGUACUGUGAUGUGUUUCCCCAAACCCAGUGGUAUCAAUACACCAUGAUCUCCCUCCCCCAGCACGGUCCAAAUUCACAAGCUCUGGCGACUACUCACCAGAGCAUGAUCUAAGUAUAAGCUAUUGAGAGGGAAAUCAGCUUUGAACUGUGAGUGAGGCCGUCCUGCCAAGCCUCGGAGUUUCAGCUGUCAUUUUCAAUCUUGUGUCCUUUGGGUGUGCCACAAAAAUCUGGCCUGAGCUUCCAUCUAUCCUGCUGGUGUUUUCUAGGAUUUCUAUAAAGGUUUUGGGAAACAAUGACCAUUCUUAACUUUGACAUCUUCAGGCGCUGUUUAGAAUU